rnacentral:rRNA from 1 species
GACGAACGCUGGCGGCGUGCCUAAUACAUGCAAGUAGAACGCUGAAGCUUGGUGCUUGCACCGAGCGGAUGAGUUGCGAACGGGUGAGUAACGCGUAGGUAACCUGCCUGGUAGCGGGGGAUAACUAUUGGAAACGAUAGCUAAUACCGCAUAAAAUUGAUUAUCGCAUGACAAUCAAUUGAAAGGUGCAAAUGCAUCACUACCAGAUGGACCUGCGUUGUAUUAGCUAGUUGGUGGGGUAACGGCUCACCAAGGCGACGAUACAUAGCCGACCUGAGAGGGUGAUCGGCCACACUGGGACUGAGACACGGCCCAGACUCCUACGGGAGGCAGCAGUAGGGAAUCUUCGGCAAUGGACGGAAGUCUGACCGAGCAACGCCGCGUGAGUGAAGAAGGUUUUCGGAUCGUAAAGCUCUGUUGUAAGAGAAGAACGAGUGUGAGAGUGGAAACUUCACACUGGAC